UUUAUGGAGAGUUUGAUCCUGGCUCAGGAUGAACGCUGGCGGCGUGCCUAAUACAUGCAAGUCGAGCGAACAGACGAGGAGCUUGCUCCUUUGACGUUAGCGGCGGACGGGUGAGUAACACGU
rnacentral:rRNA from 1 species